CGGACAGUGUCUGGUGGGUAGUUUGACUGGGGCGGUCUCCUCCUAAAGAGUAACGGAGGAGCACGAAGGUUGGCUAAUCCUGGUCGGACAUCAGGAGGUUAGUGCAAUGGCAUAAGCCAGCUUGACUGCGAGCGUGACGGCGCGAGCAGGUGCGAAAGCAGGUCAUAGUGAUCCGGUGGUUCUGAAUGGAAGGGCCAUCGCUCAACGGAUAAAAGGUACUCCGGGGAUAACAGGCUGAUACCGCCCAAGAGUUCAUAUCGACGGCGGUGUUUGGCACCUCGAUGUCGGCUCAUCACAUCCUGGGGCUGAAGUAGGUCCCAAGGGUAUGGCUGUUCGCCAUUUAAAGUGGUACGCGAGCUGGGUUUAGAACGUCGUGAGACAGUUCGGUCCCUAUCUGCCGUGGGCGCUGGAGAACUGAGGGGGGCUGCUCCUAGUACGAGAGGACCGGAGUGGACGCAUCACUGGUGUUCGGGUUGUCAUGCCAAUGGCACUGCCCGGUAGCUAAAUGCGGAAGAGAUAAGUGCUGAAAGCAUCUAAGCACGAAACUUGCCCCGAGAUGAGUUCUCCCUGAGACUUUAGGUCUCCUGAAGGAACGUUGAAGACGACGACGUUGAUAGGCCGGGUGUGUAAGCGCAGCGAUGCGUUGAGCUAACCGGUACUAAUGAACCGUGAGGCUUAACCUU
rnacentral:rRNA from 1 species